CUGCAAAAAUAUCAUGUUCAAUGCAAGUUACUAAACAAUAUAAAAGAGUGGAGUGCUUGUGUUAGUAGAAAUUUGAGACAUUUAAUAAUCUUUUAAUCUGAAUUUUUUAUUUUCACUAAACACUUUAUAAAAUCAAAAUUAAAUUAAAAAUUAACUCCCAAAAAUUCAGUGAGGUCAAUUGACCCCACUGCCCUAAGGUAGAUCUGCCCAUGAGCUCAAAUAUUUUUGAUUCCCUAGCUUUUUCCUCACUGUAGCAAAGUCCAUUGGGUUAUUGAUCACUUCAUGAUAAUCAACUCAAAGUCAAAGUCUCUUUCUCAGGCAACGAAAAACCAAACGAAUGAUCUAAAGGAGUUCCUGAUCAAAGAAACAAAAACCAAAAUUAGCAAACUUAAAUCCUAGAUUGACAAAACAUGUAUAUUCUAAAGCAUAUAAGCAUGACCCGUGAUCCAUACGAAGCUAGAAAAAUAAACUUAGCCUCAUUUCAUCAAACACUUGAGAUGCACUAUGCCACUUAAAAAAUAAACUCCUGAAAAUAGUAAUAUUUCAAAAUUUUAGUGAUUCAAAGCAUUUGUAAUAUUUUCUUUUCAAACUCAAUUUUAUUCUCUUAAUUUAUUUUCUCAAUAAAAUGAUAAAUUUAUAGCAAUCAUCCAGUUACUGAUUCAAUAUAUCUCAUCUCUACUUAGUUGUUCACUCAUUUUGGGAUAGAAAAAUAUUUAAUGCCGCAAAGAUAAAUUAGGAAAAAAAAACCAAGAAUUACAAUAUCAAAAUUGUUACCUCUAUUGACUUACUAAUUUUGAUAAUGAAAAACUCAGUCAUAUUAAGGUUACUUCCGAACUCGAGAGAAAGUAAGUAUUUCACCGGAGCAACAAACGUAAUAGCAGGAAUCUCUCUCUAAUUAUACAAUUACGCGUACCUGCUCAAAUGUUUGUGUUUCGACUGUCGUGAUUGGUUCCUUAUUAUUCUCCACAAUUCCUCUAUCUUGGCCAUUGACGCCGUGUGAAGCAAGAUUCCAGUGGAAUGACUUGUUGUUAGAAAGAGAAAGAGAAGUAAUUCAACCAAACGGGUAUGUUGAGGUUAAAUGAUUAGAUGAUGGGAGUGAAUAAGAGAGGGAUUGGAGAAUCGAGCAUAGGAUUUUUGAGAGAGAAGAAUGUGGGAAUGAAGAGUGGGUGUGAUUGUAAAAGCAGGGUUUGGAUGGUGUGGUGAGGAAUGUGGGGAGCGUCUAGGAGGGAAUGAAAUGGAGAGUAAUGAGGGUGGGAUUUGGUGAACAGGUGAACAGGAGAGAGAACUGAAGGACGGGUAAAGUGUAGGGGAUGAAUUUGAUUUGGGCAAUUUUUUUAUGUGAGAUGAAAAAUAUGCCAUUAGAUUAAGAUGAAAGAGUUUGAACCGUUCUUGUUCUUGUGCUUU
rnacentral:lncRNA from 1 species